UACAGAGGGUGCAAGCGUUUGUUCGGAAUUAUUGGGCGUAAAGGGAGUGUAGGCGGUUCGUUAAGUCGUUCUGUGAAAUCUACGGGCUUAGCCUGUAACGUGCAGAGGAAACUAGCGGGCUUGAGUGUCGGAGAGGAUAGGGGAAUACCCAGUGUAGAGGUGAAAUUCGUAGAGAAUUGGGUGGAACACCAGUGGCGAAGGCGCUAUCUGGCUGA
rnacentral:rRNA from 1 species